AGUGAACGCUGGCGGUAGGCCUAACACAUGCAAGUCGAACGGCAGCACAGUAAGAGCUUGCUCUUACGGGUGGCGAGUGGCGGACGGGUGCGGAAUACAUCGGAAUCUACUUUUUCGUGGGGGAUAACGUAGGGAAACUUACGCUAAUACCGCAUACGACCUACGGGUGAAAGCAGGGGAUCUUCGGACCUUGCGCGAUUGAAUGAGCCGAUGUCGGAUUAGCUAGUUGGCGGGGUAAAGGCCCACCAAGGCGACGAUCCGUAGCUGGUCUGAGAGGAUGAUCAGCCACACUGGAACUGAGACACGGUCCAGACUCCUACGGGAGGCAGCAGUGGGGAAUAUUGGACAAUGGGCGCAAGCCUGAUCCAGCCAUACCGCGUGGGUGAAGAAGGCCUUCGGGUUGUAAAGCCCUUUUGUUGGGAAAGAAAAGCAGCAGGUUAAUACCCCGCUGUUCUGACGGUACCCAAAGAACAAGCACCGGCUAACUUCGUG
rnacentral:rRNA from 1 species